rnacentral:rRNA from 1 species
UACGGAGGGUGCAAGCGUUGCUCGGAAUUAUUGGGCGUAAAGGGCAGGUAGGUGGUCCGAUUUGUCUGGGGUGAAAUCCUUGGGCUUAACUCAAGAAGUGCCCCAGAAACGGUCGGACUAGAGUGCUGGAGAGGCUAGCGGAAUACCCGGUGUAGCGGUGAAAUGCGUAGAGAUCGGGUGGAACACCAGAGGCGAAGGCGGCUAGCUGGACAGUGACUGACACUCAACUGCGAAAGCGUGGGGAGCAAACAGG